ensembl:misc_RNA 7SK 7SK RNA
GGAUGUGAGGGCGAUCUGGCUGCAACAUCUGUCACCCCAUUGAUUGCCAAGGUUGCUUCAGCUGAUCUGGCUGGCUAGGCAGGUGUCCCCUUCCUCCCUCACUGCUCCAUAUGCUUCCCUCCCAAAGCUGCAGCACUCAGUCAAAGAGGACGGCCUUCCCCCAAUAGAGACAGACUGCGCUCCCCUGCUAGAACCUCUAAACAAGCUCUCAAGACAUCAUUUUAAGUAUGAUAAGCCAAAGGGAGAAGGACAAAUACAAAUUAUCUCAAUUAUAGAUGGAAAUUAAGAAAUAAGU